rnacentral:rRNA from 1 species
AGAGUUUGAUCCUGGCUCAGACUGAACGCUGGCGGCAUGGCUAAAGCAUGCAAGUCGAACGGGUCAGCAAUGACCAGUGGCGGAAGGGUGAGUAAUACGAUCCCAACGUACCCCGAGGUGGGGGAUAGGCAUGGGAAACUGUGCGUAAUACCCCAUGAUGUCGAGAGACCAAAGGCUUGCCGCCUUGGGAUCGGGGAUCGUCCUAUCAGGUAGUUGGCGGGGUAAUGGCCCACCAAGCCGAAGACGGGUAGCAGGUGUGAGAGCACGGCCUGCCACAUCGGGACUGAGACACUGCCCGGACUCCUACGGGAGGCUGCAGCAGCGAAUCUUCCGCAAUGGGCGAAAGCCUGACGGAGCGAUGCCGCGUGUGGGAUGAAGCGUCUUUGACGUGUAAACCACUGUUAGGAGAUCGAAACACUGAUCAUCUCCAGAGAAAGGGGCGACUAACUCUGUGCCAGCAGUCGCGGUAAGACAGAGGCCCCGAGCGUUAGUCGGAAUCACUGGGCUUAAAGGGUGCGUAGGCUGGCCUGUAAGUGUCGAGUGAAAUCCCACCGCUCAACGGUGGAACUGCUCGGCAAACUGCGGGUCUUGAGGAAGCUAGAGGUCGCUGGAACGCAUGGUGGAGCGGUGGAAUGCGUAGAGAUCAUGCGGAACGCCGAUGGUGAAGACAGGCGACUGGGGCUUUCCUGACGCUGAGGCACGAAAGCGUGGGGAGCAAACAGGAUUAGAUACCCUGGUAGUCCACGCCCUAAACGAUGUGUGCUGGAUCACGGCGGCUCUGACGCCGUCGGGAUCGUAGAGAAAUUGUUAAGCACACCGCCUGGGGAGUACGGUCGCAAGAUUAAACUCAAA